rnacentral:rRNA from 1 species
GAGCCCGCGUCCUAUUAGCUAGUUGGUAAGGUAACGGCUUACCAAGGCGACGAUGGGUAGCCGGUCUGAGAGGACGAACGACCACACUGGAACUGAGACACGGUCCAGACUCCUACGGGAGGCAGCAGUGGGGAAUUUUGCGCAAUGGGGGAAACCCUGACGCAGCAACGCCGCGUGGAUGAUGAAGGCCUUCGGGUCGUAAAGUCCUGUUCUGGGGGAAGUGACGGUACCCCAGCAGAAAGCUCCGGCCAUUAUGUGCCAGCAGCCGCGGUAACACAUAAGGAGCAAGCGUUGUCCGGAAUUAUUGGGCGUAAAGAGCUCGUAGACGGUUCCGAAAGUCAGCUGUGAAAUCACCAGGCUUAACCUGGUAGGGCCAGUUGAAACUUCGGAACUUGAGGGUAGAAGAGGAAAGUGGAAUUCCCGGUGUAGCGGUGAAAUGCGUAGAU